rnacentral:lncRNA from 1 species
CACAGGCAAAGGGAGAAGCAUUUUCAGAGAUCCCUGGGCUGGAGAGAGACUGAGAAGCACUAGGGGCACAGUACUCAGUACCAUGUCAGAGUUGGAAAAGUGUCUUCCAGGUUUUCCCUUCUCUUCCUAUAAGGGGGUCUCAGCAGAAGCAUCUGCGGAGGACCUCAUCUCAAGAUUCAGAUGAAGAUAAGCGUGUGUUUCAGGAAAUGUUGUCCUUCCCUGAGGUUUCUUAUGCUGAAAUCCAAUUGGCUGCUAAGCCUCCAAUUCCUGAGUGGCACCAUCAUUUUAUUAUGAAUGGAGAAAUGGGAUUCCACAGGAAUGUUAGGAGCAUUUGUCAACAGUUCAAAAUAGAAAAAAAAAAAAAAAAAAAAAAAAAAAAAAAACAGUUCGAAUGGGCACAAGAACGUAAAUGUCAAUAUUGGCAUCAGAAAUAGAGACCAAAAAAAAGAGAAAUAGAGACAGAUCUUUGCAAUUCAGUGUUACUUAAUAUAUAAAUGUAGAAUAUAUAUGUGUCUGUGUGUAGCCAUAGUAGGGAUAAAUAUCUAUACUUGAUACAGGUUAUACAUAUAGCGUAUCACUUACCUCCACAGAGAUGAGAUUCUAAAUUGAACAAUGUAGAGAAACAAGUAAAAGAGAGGCUCGACAGCCAAGUCUUUCAGAGUCUACCUUAAUUGGAGUGAUCCACGUGGAAACCAUCAGCCAUGGAACAAGAAAGCACAGCAUCACUUCAUCAACUUCUACAUUAUUACGGACUUUAAAAAAUGCGGAAUAGGGCAGCCUGGAUGGCUCAGAGGUUUAGGCGCCACCUUUCAGGUCCGGGGCCUGAUCCUGGAGACCCGGGAUCGAGUCCCAUGUUGGGCUCCCUGCAUGGAGCCUGCUUCUCUCUCUGCCUGCGUCUCUGCCUCUGCCUCUGCCUCUGUGUUGUGUGUGUGUGUGUGUCUCAUGAAUAAAUAGAUACAAUCUUUUUUAAAAAAUAAACACUGGACAAAUUUAUAAUGCAGAACAAUCUAGAAAGUGACUGGCCCGCAAUCUUCCA